GACUCUGUAGCUCAGUGGUUAGAGCAUGCGAUUGCAGCGUAGAUCAUCUGCAAGAAGUUAUCGCGGGGUCCCGUGUUCAAAUCACGGCAGGGUCU